AGCAACUACUGUGCAGAGUCACGAUUUGAAACGUGUAACAUGGAAUUAGAAUACUAUCAGUAAUUUAAUAGGAUCUAUGUUUUAGGCCACGGCCAACCGUUUCUUCUAUGGUGGGCAAGGCUUCACUGAGUUUCCCAAACAAUAGAUGCAGUUCUAAACCUUUCUGAGCUAUCCAGAGAUUUGCAGAUCACUGAUUACCUACUUUAUGGAAGGGAGGGAUUUGGUGAGCACAAGACGUUGCGAAUACGUCUUUUCAACCAAAAAUACGUAUUUAACGUCUUUUGCUCACAUGGAAGGAAAAUUAUUCGUAGUAGGUCAUCUCCUACCUGGGGUUUGUGAAUACUCUCAAAGUCGUAACUAACAUGGGUCAACGCAUGUGCAUCGAAUGGUUUAUGCUGGAUGACUGACAUGGUGUGAUGUUUUGAAGCCACAUCGCCUCCAUCUUGGAACUCCCCCAUAUUGUAAAAAUAAUAUUUUGGAAGCAAUAUAAAUGCAUUUAUUCAUACCUGCAUUUGUUUUUGCCACGUUUAUUCUAUUACAAACACCUUAAAGGAGAAUUUCACUAUUUAGGACCCUAAUCUGUAUAUAUUAUGUAAAUGCAAUGUUGUAGAACAAGGGUCUCCAACCCUGUAACUGGAGACCUUACACUCCAGUUGGAACUAGCCUGGUUCAGCUUAUCAACCAGCUAAUUAUUAGAAUCAGGUGUACUAUAUUAGGUUUGUAGUGAACCUACAAGAUGCUAGCACUCCAGGAACAGGUUUGGAAAGCCCGGUUAUAGAAGGUCCCAAAAUGAAGAAAUUUACUUAAUUAGUUUCAUUCUGCAGGUCUUUAAUGUUGUACACAUUAAAUUGUGUCAAACCUUACUUGAUCUGCAAGGUUAUAAUCCAUUUUGUUCAACUCAAAUGAUAUUUUCCAGCGUGUAAAUUUGAUCAGAAGCAUACUAGCCAGGUCCACAACGUGUCAACUGUAAACUAGGGCUGGGCAAGAAGGCCUAAAACUCAUCUUGAUUUCUUUCAGAUUUAUGGCCGAUUCAUGAUAUCAAAAAGCUUUGUACAAAUAAAGGUCAAUACACUGCAUUUCAAACAGUCAGGAAUAAUCAAAUGAAUUCAGGGAAUGGGAAAUUAUACCUGGGCUAAAUAGAAGCCUUUGACAACCAUAUGACCCACUAAUAAUUUCAUUAUUUUAUCAAAGUAGUUUAACCUGCUUUUUUGCAAUAAUCACUAAUCUGGCUUUCAAGUCUGUGUAUGAAAAUGCCCCUUUUUUGUUACAAAUGUUACCAGAACCAUGCACAUUCACUAAUAAUGACAGACUUCUUGUAGCAGGCAUUAUAGAAACUGAACACGGGUCUCAUACACAAUCUCUUAAGUACAAGGCCACGUGGUAGUGAAUAGCCAGCGAAUCUUUACAUAUCAAGUCUAGCCAUCUUGGAUCUAUUUGUUUGCUAACAAGGUAGAACAGUUGAACUGUUAUGAACAGACCCUCCUGUCCAUCUCCAACUCUUUGAACAGCAGCCUGUUCACUUUGUUUAGAUGUGGAUAAGAACAUGCUUAUUUCUCAGAAUGGGAACGAGUUGCCAAUUCCUUAUAUAAAUGCAUAUUUUUAUGAUCAUUGCACAUUUAUAAAACAGACAGCUAGCACAUAAGUCUGUGGCUAAAAUACUGCUAGCGGUAUCACAAUUCAGAGCACGACAAACUGAGCAUACAUUUUCUACAUGUUCAUUGAUACUCUAGUUUUUGUUGGGUCUGCUCUGUCCUACAUUUUGUGAGUUGGGACAUAAAAAGGGUAAGUUCUUAUCUAUUACAUUAAAAGAAUGUCUCUUAAGCGUUUCAGUGUCAAAUUGACUGAUUCUGUUGAAUCAAACCUCAAAUAGUGAGUUAAACUGCUUCUUGUCAGAAGUGAAUCUUUCAUCUUUGUUGUGAGUGGCAGGGGGAGGGUCUUGAUGUCUGUGCGAGUGGGAAAGUGCACACAGCAUAGGAGGAGCGAAGGAGACUACACUAAAAAGAGACGGAACGCACAUUUAAAACGAAUAAAAAAAUUGGGUUACAUGCAUUUAGAUCAAUACACAAAAAACAUACAUUCAAAUUAAUUUGAUAUAUCGCCCAGCCCUACUGUAAUUACAGAGCUUCUAAUCUACCAAUCAAGCUAAUCAUUUUUUAUUUCAAACUACUACGCUACCAACUUGUCUGACUACGAAUACAAGGAGGCGAGGCUUAUUUAUUUGAAUCGGAAUACACAGACGAGGAUCUUUAACAGAUCGGGGAUGAGGGAGAGAGACGGAGCAGAGGGGCUCAGGCAGAUAUUCAACUAGCAGCUGAGGCUCGACUCACCAUCUGGGAACUGGUGGUGUGCCUGCAAUGCUAAGUGAAGCUCACUGAAGACGAGUGUCUUUGCUGUGCGGAUUGGGACCUGCUUAUGCCAGCCUUGGAAAAUCUAGAAUUGUCCGGUGACGAGAUAAGGUUGUCCCGCGAGCCCACCACACUGUGUAAUCAUUGACAAUUACUUUUCCAACCCGUAUAAACCCAGCAGUUGUAGAAAUGUUUUUCCGUGUACUGAAAAUGAACUGGAAGAAGAGACCUUGGCCAUAGGGACCUAAUGGCCAGCUGUCAAUAAAGCAAUAUAGACUUGUGGCUUACAGAGUGGUCUUGGAAUGGGAAUUGAAAAGCGAACGACUUGGAUGUGGUUAGAGACGAGUGUUACCCAGUUGUGUUGUCACCAUCCGCGACAAGUACCCCUCACCCACCGGUGUCUACACUGGAUUCAAGGAGGGAGAUUAGUGCUUUCAGUAUCCUUUUGAACAGCCAUCCACCGUUGGCUCAAUACCUUUUCCUCCCCUUUCUAUUCUCCUUUUUGCAUUAAUAUUUAUUUUGUUUAUACUGCAAAUGUAUAGAAGAUCAAAUAGUCCUUACAAUACAUGUAACAUAGCCUUGAAAAAUCCCCACUUGAGGUUUCUUGUGACAAAAAAAAGACAAUGCCAAAUCAGUCAUUUAUACAUAUAAGUGAAAGCAUUAUUGAUAACUGUUUUGAUAAGCAGUAUUAUUUCUGUUAACUAUAUAUAAAAAAAAUAUUUAUUAUUGCACUUGCCCAGGUGGUAAGGGUAACGCAUGGUAGAUCCCUGAGGUGGAACGCGUCGUGCGUGGGUUUGCCUGCUGUGGACUGGAGAGCAGCAAUCUCAGUUCUGUGAUAUCUACAGAUUCUGAUGCAGUUGUUCCAGGUUGGCUUUUGCUAGGUGAGUAGUUGAUUUUGGUAAACUGGAUAUCUCAGCAGCCAUGGGCAAUCCACUCAUUUCUGUGCUGCCACUGACAUGAGCCUGCAUAUCAUGGAUAAAUAGAACUGGAUCCACCCUAGCCAGGAUCCCACACUAUGUAUUAGCCUACCCAAUAAUAGAACCAUGUCAUUACUCAAUACAGUGGCUUUGUGUCUACCUCCAGCUCAUGUUCAAUGUAGGGGUGUUUUCACAUUUGAAAUUCGGUUCCAGGGAGCAUUGGUGACAUUUUAUACAGAAAAUGUUGUGCUUUCACAAGACCUAUACAUAACUGUUUCAGGAUGUGAUGUGAGACGCACAUUCUACAUGUUGUAAGCUAGCUAGAUAGUUUACAUCAGACAAAAAGUUCCACGUGACUCACCUGGGUAUGAUAUUGCGUUUCACUCAUGCUUUAUAGUCCUAACUAUAGGUAGACCUAGCCAAUCAAACAAAAGCUACAGGAUCUGAAUCAUAUGUGAAAACUGCCUAAGUAAUCUAACAUUGGCAAAUUGUGUUUUGCAGAAUGAUAUAACAAUAUUUGCGAAGCACAACAUGAAAAUAGCUAGAUGUUUACUUUAUAUAAAAACACACACUUGUGAGGCUGGCUAGGUAUCAAGCAAACCUUUAGCUAACAUAAACAAAAUAAAAACAGAUUCAGUGUCCCCCCCUUUCAUCAGUAAUGCUAGCUAACUUUAUUGCAUAUCUCAUCUCAAUUUCUGCUGGUCCUAGUCAGGCGCAGCGACAUCCUUCAAUGGUUGGUAAAGCUGUUUUCUUAAUGUGUUUUUACCAAUCAUUUUUCUUGUUGGUGGUUUACAGAAGUCGUCAUCAGAGAAGGGCUCGCUACAAACAAGUAGGGCCAACGCAUAAAGUCUGUGGAUGGGAGUGUUUAUGCGUCUUUGCAUAACAACUAGCCAAAGCCUCAGUAAUUCUGGGUCUGCCAAAGGAAGUCUGUGAAAAGUUAUUGGACUAGCUAUGUUUUGUCAUUGCAAAAUGGUUUUAAGUCUCUUGAGUUGAUUGAUACUAGUCAUUUGCCAACAUUUCUAAAAAACAGUUUUUGCUUUGUCAUUAUGGGGUAUUGUGUGUAGAUUGAUUGUGGGGGGAGACUAUUUACUCAAUUUUAGAAUAAUGCUGUAAUGUAACAAUGUGGAAAAAGUCAAGGGGUCUAAAUUCUUAGCGAAUGCACUGUAUAUCUAGCUACAGAAAUAAGACCGAUCCUGCUUGUGUUGCCUGUUUGAGUGUUUGUUUAAUUGGCUACUGAUUCCGUGAGCACCAAGCCUCAAGCAACCACAACAUCUGAUUAAAAAAAUGUGUCUGUUUUUAAUCUUUGCUGUGGUGUAAUAAAGGUUUAACACUUUUUUGUUUGUUAGGACAGCCUCUGGUAUUACUCAUCAUUUAUUUGGUGUUUACAGUGUUCCAAAUUGUCAGAAAAUAAUAAUAAGUAGGUAGCUACAGUUGAAGUUGGAAGUUCACAUACACUUAGGUUGGAGUCAUUAAACUCGUUUUUGAACCACUCCACACAUUUCUUGUUAACAAACUAUAGUUUUGGCAAGUCGGUUAGGACAUCUACUUUGUGCAUGACACAAGUAAUUUUUCCAAUCCAAUUCCAAUUGUUUACAGACAGAUUAUUUCACUUAUAAUUCACUGUAUCACAAUUUCAGUGGGUCAGAAGUUUACUAAGUUGACUGUGCCUUUAAACAGAAAAUUCCGGAAAAUUAUGUCAUGGCUUUAGAAGCUUCUGAUAGGCUAUUUGACAUCAUUUGAGUCAUUUGGAGGUGUACCUGUGGAUGUAUUUCAAGGCCUACCUUCAAACUCAGUGCCUCUGCUUGACAUCAUGGGAAAAUCAAAAGAAAUCAGUCAAGACCUCAAAAUAAAUUGUAGGCCUCCACAAGUCUGUUUCAUCCUUGAGAGCAAUUUCCAAAUGCCUGAAGGUACCACUUUCAUCUGUACAAAAGAUAGUACGCAAGUAUAAACACCAUGGGACCGCGCAGCCGUCAUACCGCUCAGGAAGGAGACGCGUUCUGUCUCCUAGAGAUGAACGUACUUUGGUGCGAAAAGUGCAAAUCAAUCCCAUAACAGCAACAAACCUUGUGAAGAUGCUGGAGGAAAGGGGUACAAAAGUAUCUAUAUCCACAGUAAAACGAGUCCUAUAUCGACAUAACCGGAAAGGCUGCUCAGCAAGGAAGAAGCCACUUCUCCAAACCCACCAUAAAAAUGCCAGACUACGGUUUGCAACUGCAUAUGGGGACAAAGAUCGUACUUUUUGGAGAAAUGUUCUCUGGUCUGAUGAAACAAAAAUACAACUGUUUGGCCAUAAUGACCAUUGUUAUGUUUGGAGGAAAAAGGGGGAGAUUUGCAAGCCGAAGAACACCAUCCCAACUGUGAAGCAUGGGGGUGGCAGCAUCAUGUUUUGGGUGUGCUUUGCUGCAGGAGGGACUGGUGCACUUCCCAAAAUAGAUGGGGUCAUGAGGCAGGACAAUUAUGUGGAUAUAUUGAAGCAACAUCUCAAGACAUCAGUCAGGAAGUUAAAGCUUGGUCGCAAAUGGGUCUUCCAAAUGGACAAUGACCCCAAGCAUACAUCCAAAGUUGUGGCAAAAUGGCAACAAAAUCAAGGUAUUGGAGUGGCCAUCACAAGGCCCUGACCUCAAUCCUAUAGAAAAUGUGUGGGUAGAACUGAAAAUGCGUGUGUGAGCAAGGAGGCCUACAAACCUGACUCCGUUACACCAGCUCUGUCAGGAGGAAUGGGUCAAAAUUCACCCAACUUAUUGUAGGAAGCUUGUGGAAGGCUACCUGAAACGUUUGAACCAAGUUAAAGAAUUUAAAGGCAAUGCUACCAAAUACUAAUUGUGUGUAUGUAAACUUCUGACCUCUGGGAAUGUGAUGAAAGAAGUAUAAGCUGAAAUAAAUAAUUCUCUUAUUCUGACAUUACACAUUGUUCAAAUAAAGUGGUGAUCUUAACUGACCUAAAGUUGCCUACAGUUUGGCUAACUGUAGGCAACAUAGCUAGCUAUGGGUGCCUGCAUCCGGGAACAUAAAAAAAAUGACAUUACUUUUUCGUUUACUUUCAGCAUCCAAACGUUAAACAAUGUUAGCUAGCCAUCAUUCAGCCGCCAUCUAGGCUGGUGACAGCUGGCCUGUGGCCCUGCCCAGAAAGACCAUAAGGCCUAUAUUGUGGGUUUUGAGGUAGACUUGAUCCCCAACAGAUUUUCUAAGCUAUUUUCACGUUCCUUCCUAGCGACGAAAUGAAACAUUAGUUCACAAUGUUCAUUCAAAUAUUAGUGUUAUUUAACAUCGUAAAUCAUAGGAAUUUGACGUUUUUAGUGUAGCAUGAUAGCAGGUCAGGCGUCUGAUUCUUUCAGAUUCUUUGGGAGAAACCGAUAAAAAGGCAUCCGGUUAGACUGCUCCAAACUCAAAUGCACAUAAGCGACAGUACUUCACUGCCAAGCGUUUAUCCAAUAUACACUGAGUUUACAAAACAUUAAGACCACCUGCUCUUUCCAUGACAUAGUGCAUUCGGAAAGUAUUCAGACCCCUUGACUUUAUCCACAUUUUGUUACGUUACAGCCUUAUUUGAAAUUGGAUUAAAUACUUAACUAUUCAGACCCUUUACUCAGUACUUUGUUGAAGCACCUUUGGCAGCAAUUACAAUUAUAAUUAUGAUGCUACAAGCUUGGCACACCUGUCUUUGGGGAGUUUCUCCCAUUCUUCUCUGCAGAUGCUCUCAAGCUCUGUCAGGUUAGAUGGAGAGUGUCGCUGCACAGCUAUUUUCAGGUCUUUCCAGAGAUGUUAGAUCAGGUUCAAGUCCGUGCUCUGGCUGGGCCACUCAAGGACAUACAGAGACUUGUCCCGAAGCCAUUCCUGCAUUGUGUUGGCAUGGCUGUGCGCGUAGGUUCAUUGUCUUGUUGGAAGGUGAACCUUCGCCCCAGUUUGAAGAUCUCUGUACUUUGCUCCAUUCAUCUUUCCCUCGAUCCUGACUAGUCUCCCAGUCCCUGCUGCUGAAAAACAACCCCACAGCAUGAUGCUGCCACCACCAGGCUUUACCAUAGGGAUGUUGCCUGGUUUCCUCCAGAUGUAAUGCUUGUCAUUCAGCCCAAAGCAUUCUAUCUUGGUUUCAUCAGACUAGAGAAUCUUGUUUCUCAUGGUCUGAGUCCUUUAUGUGCCCUUUUGCCUACUCCAGUGGGCUUUUGUGCCGUUUACUGAGGAGUGGCUUCCGUCUGGCCACUCUACCAUAAAGUCCUGAUUGGUAGAGUGCUGCAGAGAUGGUUGUUCUUCUGGAAGGUUCCCCCAUCUCCACAGAGGAGCUCUGAGUGACCAUUGGGUUCUUGCUCACCUCCCUGACCAAGGCCCUUCCAUGAUUGCUCAGUUUGGUUGGACAGCCAGCUCUAGGAAGAGUCUUAGUGGUUCCAAACUUCAUCCAUUUAAGAAUGGAGGCUACUGUGUUUUUGGGGACCUUCAAUGCUGCAGAAAUGUUUUUGUACCCUUCCCCAGAUCUGUGCCUUGACACAAUCUUGUCUCGGAGCUCUACAGACAAUUCCUUUGACCUCAAGUCUUUGGUUUUUACUCUAACAUGCACUGUCAACUGUGGGACCUUAUAUAGACAGGUCCAAAUCAUGUACAAUCAUUUGAAUUUACCACAGUUGGACUCCAAUCAAGUUGUAGAAACAUAUCAAGGAUGAGCAAUGGAAACAGGAUGCACCUGAGCUCAAUUCUGAGUCUCAUAACAAAGGGUCUGAAUUCUUAUGUAAAUAAGGUAUUUCAGUUUUUUUUAUUUUUUUAUUUGCAGAAAAAUCAAAAACAGUUUUCGCUUUGUCAUUAUGGGGUAUUGUGUGAUGAUUGAGGGAAAACAUUUUGUUUAUCCAUUUUAGAGUAAGUCUGUAAUGUAACAAAAUGGGAUGAAAGUCAAGGUGUCUGAAUACUUUCCAAAUGCACUGUAGACUGACCAGGUGAAAGCUAUGAUCCCUUAUUGAAGUGGAUUUAACAAGUGCCAUCAAUGAGUGUAGAUGAAGUGGAGGACACUGGUUAGAGACGCCUUGAGGCAAUUGAGACAUGGAUUGUGUAUGUGUGCCAUUCAGAGGGUGAGUGGGCACGACAAAAGAUUUAAGUGCCUUUGAAUGGGGUAUGGUAGUAGGUGUCAGGCGUACCGGUUUGUGUCAAACUGUAACACUGCUGGGUUUUUCACACUCAACAGUUUCCUGUGUGUACCAAGAAUGGUCCACCGCCCAAAGGACAUCCAGCCAACUUGACACAACUGUGGGAAGCAUUGACGUCAACAUGAUCCAACAUCCCUGUGGAACGCUUUCGACACCUUGUAGAGUCCAUGCCCAAACAAAUUGAGUCUGUUCUGAGGGCAAAAGGGGGGGGGUGCAACUCAAUAUUAGACCUACAUCAGCUCUAUCUCCCAGAUGAGGUUUCUCCUGAGCAGCAGGAGUGGAGCCCCAGUCUGAAGCAAGAGGACCCAGAGCCCUCACAGGUUAAAGAGGAACAUGAAGUCUGGACCAGUCAGGGGGGAGAACAGUUUAAAGAGCUAGAGCCUGAUACCAAAGAGUUAAUAUUCACUCCCUCUUUGGAAAAUCUGGAACCACCUCAGACCUCACAUCUUUUCCAAAUGCAAAUUGUGGUCUCACCCACCAUUACAACAAAAGAGAUCAAGAUGAAACCAUGUCACAUUGGUGAAAACUCUUCUUGUCAUGUUUGUGGUAAAUGUUUUGACUGUAAAUCUGGUCUGGAAAGGCAUAUGAGGGCUCAUACUGGCGAAAAACCUUAUUGCUGCACUGAAUGUGGCAAAUGCUAUAGUCAGAUAGGAAAUCUGACAGUGCAUAUGAGGGGACAUACAGGGGAGAGAUCAUACAGAUGCUUUUUGUGUGGAGAAUACUUCAUCACAGCAUCCCAAUUAAAAUCACAUAAAAUCACUCACACGCAGGGGAGUAAUAUAAUCCCAGGGACGUCCAAAACCAAAUCUCGUUUGUGCGCUGGUAACAGUCGUGAGACUAGGGAUGGACCGUAUCAGUGCAAGGAAUGUGUUAAAUCCUUCAGGCAGAAGAGGAACCUGUUACGACAUAUGAGGAAUCACACAGGAGCAAUUAAUGCAGCAAAUGCUUCAACUGGAGUGGAACAUUUUUUUUUAACAUGAUUUACACAGAGGUGAAAAUGUAUUUUGUGGCCACAUUUUAAUGCUCCAGCAACGAAUUCAAACGCGUGCAAUCCACAUCAGUGCAAGGACUUCAGAAAAUGGUUUGGAAAGAUUGGAUUAGAAUAUCUUGAAAAGUAAAUGAGAAACAUCUUAUUCACCAGAGGGAGGAAACAUGAACGUGUCAUUUGGAUCAGUAUGAGUUGACUAAUGGACUUGCAGAACAUUAUUACAUUAUCACAUUUGUUGUUUUUGGUGAAGAUAUUUAGGAUUUGUAAACAGUCUCAAACUUUUAUGAAUAAAAGUUGUACAGCUGUAUUCUAGAAUAUGGUGUGUUAAAAUUGACCAUUGAAUCUAACAUUUUGAACCUGGGGAUGAUCACAUUCCCAGUUAAUCCCCAUCUAAAUUGAUCAUGCGUUUCUGUUUCCUUCCUGCAAACUCUUAUCCUCUGCAGGUUGGGAGGCAGAUGAUUUUACAGAUGCUCUUUAACAUGACCGGCAUACAACAGUCUGUCUUUUCUGGGACAAACAUUACUGUGUUAAAAACAAAUGUAUGUUUUAAUAAAGAUGUGUUUUAAAUGGA